rnacentral:rRNA from 1 species
UACGGAGGGUCCGAGCGUUAUCCGGAAUCAUUGGGUUUAAAGGGUCCGUAGGCGGGCCUGUAAGUCAGGGGUGAAAGUUUGUGGCUCAACCAUAAAAUUGCCUUUGAUACUGCAGGUCUUGAGUCAUGGUGGGGUUGCCGGAACAUGUGGUGUAGCGGUGAAAUGCAUAGAUAUCACAUAGAACACCGAUCGCGAAGGCA